GUUUGAAAGAGAAUCCUGACAUGAGAGCAGAGGAGCAACAGGCUGUCCAUCCACUCCACUAUAUAUGAGUCAAAUUGGGAAUGCCAUUAGAGAUCCACUGUGUGAAGGAUAUUUCUGACCACACGCGUUCUGGUCAAGACACUUGAUGGACGGAAGGUUUAUGUCAAAAGUUUGGUCUGUGUAAGCUGUGCUGAAAUCGUGUGAAGGAUCUGAUGGACUUCUUCCAGGAUCAGAGCUCUGAUGACGGAGGACAUGGAGACCAGGUGAUCCUGCAAAUGUCCCUGAACGAGGACUCCUCCAGCAGCACUGUCGGCAGGAGGGCAGCCCCGCUGGGAUGAGAGAUGAGAAGCCUUCCUUCUUGCAGACCUCCACCAUCACCGGGGCCAAAAAAAGGAAAAUGAAUGCAGAGUGUGGCUACAGACGACUCCCAAGCCAAGAUCAGGAGUGAACAACUGGCAGCCACUCAAAAAGGCACAAGUGGCCAAACGGGCCCACUAAAGUGCCAGRGGAAGAGAAAGAGGCAUGAUCCCACACCCGAUGGCAACMMCUCAACAAAGAAGAGAAACAUGAGCCUCAAAAAAGAGCUGAUGGACCUUGUCAGAGGCAACAAGUCAGAGUCUGCCCCCUCCAAUUCAAUGGCUCAUUCCCUCAAGAAGAGGAGGAGGGAUGAAGAGGAGGUGCCAGUGUUGGACAAAUCCUGCUCAGGGAGGAGAAAGAGGGGGGAACUUGGCUAGAAACCUCAAGACUGGAGUGAGGACACUGUCAAGAACUUCAUUUGUUUUUUAUCUGCCCUUUUUUUUAAUUGAUGUAUUCAUUUUGAAAUGUUGCUUAUUAACUUUUCCCAAACAGUUUGAUUGUGAAUGAAAACAUAUGAAAWAAACAAUUUGUCUGAAAAGUCAUGAUUAAACUUAWGACCUGUUGUAAUUCUGAGUUUUUG